rnacentral:rRNA from 1 species
UACGGGGGGAGCAAGCGUUGUUCGGAUUUACUGGGCGUAAAGGGCGCGUAGGCGGUAGCACAAGUCAGUUGUGAAAUCUCCGGGCUUAACUCGGAAAGGUCAACUGAUACUGUGCGACUAGAGUGCAGAAGGGGCAACUGGAAUUCUCGGUGUAGCGGUGAAAUGCGUAGAUAUCGAGAGGAACACCUGCGGCGAAGGCGGGUUGCUGGGCCUGCACUGACGCUCAUGCACGAAAGCGUGGGGAGCAAACAGG